rnacentral:lncRNA from 1 species
UGGAAAGGUGGGAAAAUUUGGACACGUGGCUUACUUUCUUAAACCAGACUGCUUUUUCAGUGGCUUUAGUUUUAAUUUAUCCAUUUAGUUAUUAUUCAUUCACAUUUUUCAUUAGCCCAACCAGUCUGGCCCAUCGUAUGUCUGAAAUCUAAAACUCUAUGCAAUCUAAUUGUGUAGUCUUCCUCAAACUGAACUGUUACUGUCGGUUCCGGUUCUUCUCUUCAGCGUUUGCUUCCCACUUUUACUCUCAUAAAGCUCCACUCUUUACUGCAAGAAACCAAA